CCAGGGACACUGUGGAUGGCUGUAUUUCUAAGAGAAUCCAGGGUCUGCUUGCUUAAAGGCUGUGCAAACUUCUCCCUCCAAUCUGACUCAAUUAAUGAAGGAUCAAUGAAAUCAAGUCUGGGAAGAACAUACUAGUGGAAACCAUAAACAAUCAAGAUGAUAAAGAAAAAAAACUCAAGUACUGUAUGCAUCCUCAAGGAUUCUGGAGAUGAACUUGAAUGACAUCAAAAUCCAGUAUGCUAAAAACUCAAGUGCAGCAUUUAUUGAAACUAUGAAGAGUUUCAGAACAUUGUUCUCAAUUUUAAUACCCAGCUGUUUUUGUUCAACAUCAAUUCAAACUCACUUCACUCAGGAAUUAACAAUUAAAAACCUAAACAACUUC